GGAGCCAGACUGCACAUGCGCCCUGAAGUCCGAGUGACAGCUACCCCAGGCCGGUGGGUGCGGCCCGCGUGAGUUUCAGGAUCUGAAACCAUGGGCAGAAGCACAAAUGGGGAGUCGACUCUCUUUCAUCUGUUGAGUAUAUUUUGUACCAUUCCUUAAUUUUUUUGGAUAUUGUGUGUAUUUCAUUUGUUAAGCCUAUGAAUAAUAGAUGUUAAAAGAAGCAACGUGGGGAGUGCCUGGCUGGCUCAGUUGGUAGAGCAUGCGGCUCUUGAUCUUGGGGUCAUCAGUUCAAGCCUGACAUUGGACACAGAGCUUACAUUUAAAAAAAAAAAAAAGGAGCAAUGUGAGGAUGUGAGGAGAGGGGGUGAGAAGGAUGGUGAAAGAGAGAGAGCACGCAAACACGGGGAGGAGCAGAGGGAGAGGGAGAGUCCCAAGAAGACUCUGGCCCGAGCACUGUACCCCACGUGGAACACCAUACCGAGAUCGUGACCUGAGCCAAAAGUAAGAGCCAGACAUUCAACAGACUGAACCACCCAAGUGCCUCAGCAACCAUUUGCAGAAGUAUCAUUAUCUCUGGUGGGAAACGGAGUCUCCAAGAGGUUCAAGUGGGUGAGCACAUCAAAGUUCUUCCGGUCCCUAACCUUCAAUUAGACACUUUUCUGAAGCGUGAAGCUGGGCUAUACUUGUCAGAACAGACACCAGAGGAGCACCUGGGUGGCUCUGUCAUUAGGUGUCUGCCUUUGGCUCUGGUUGUGAUCCUGGGGUCCUGGGAUUGA